UAACGAAUCUUGGGCAAUGGGCGAAAGCCUGACGCAGCAACGCCGCGUGGAGGAAGAAGGCCUUCGGGUUGUAAACUCCUGUCAGGGGGAAAGAAGGCACCUGGGUGAAUAGCCCAAGGGCUGACGGUACCCCCAGAGGAAGCCACGGCUAACUACGUGCCAGCAGCCGCGGUAAUACGUAGGUGGCGAGCGUUGUCCGGAAUUAUUGGGCGUAAAGAGCGCGUAGGCGGCUUGCCAGGUCCGACGUGAAACCCCGGGGCUCAACUCCGGACGUGCAUCGGAAACCGGCUUGCGAGAGUCUGGGAGAGGGGAGUGGAAUUCCUGGUGUAGCGGUGAAAUGCGCAGAUAUCAGGAGGAACACCGGUAGCGAAGGCUGCUCCCUGGAACAGUACUGACGCUGAGGCGCGAAAGCUAGGGGAGCGAACA
rnacentral:rRNA from 1 species